GCGUUUUGCGUAUUGUAGUUACAAUUUCGUUCGCUAAAUUUUCUUUUAUUACUAUUAUGACUUGUACAAUGUUAUAACAUUUUGAAUUUGUACAGGAUGGAUUAUCAUCUUGACGCAGAGUUGAGAUAGAUGUCAGGCAAAGUUACGUGGAAUAGUAGCUUUGAUUGUUUCACAGCUGUGUUAGAGCUGUCUGAUGAUCAACAUGUUGAUAUGCUGCGCCAGUCCUUCCUGUGACCCUUGUACUUGUUGAGAGAUCUGUAGUACUCGGGUCAGAUUAUUGAUGCACUUCUAUGUCGAUUGCUGAGUCCAGUCGAUAGCGAUGCCCUCCACUUCGCAAUCGGGGGUAAAAUCGCCAGUUUUUCGAUGUUCGAGUUUGCUCUGAUCACGGGAUUAAAGAUUACUGGCGAUGAAGCAGCUGGUGAUGGGACUCAGAGAAGAAAUAUGCUUCAUGACGCUUACUUCGAGGGACAGGGUACUGUGCUCCUUACACAACUGUUGGACGCAAUCAGGAGAUGUGAUCAGAUGUUAGACAGUCUGAAGUUAGGUCUGAUCUACAUCCUUGAGAGCGUGGUGCAAUGUCACCAUAAGAAGACUGCGAUCGACCUCUUCCAUCUGGAGAUCGUUGACGACAUCGAUCGUUUCAACGACUAUCCGUGGGAUCGGAGAUGUUUUGAGGACACUGUACACGCCUUCACCAGAUCGCACUCGAAGCCGAAGGGAGCCAUGCGUAAGUACGACACCUAUGGAUUGCCCCUGGUGAUGCAGAUCUGGACGUAUGAGGCUGUCUCCAUAUUGGGUGCUCGAUUUGCGAGGCGAGAGGAGACAUGCUGCCCUCAGAUGCACCAUUGGAGAGCAUCUCGAUCGGAGGAAUGUCCUACUGGAAACAGUUAUCGGCUAUCCUGAACGACCUUCAGCUUGAAGUCAUAACUGAGUUGACGUCGUCGAUGGAGGAGGAGGCUCAGGGUCUUGUGCGUGAAUUAGGCGUUUCGCACACCGAAUACGACCAUAUGUCCGAUCCGAUCCACGACCGAGAUUGGGACCGUGAUCCAGUUGAUCGACGAUCACCUCCGUCGAGGGCAUCACCACCUCUGUCGAGGGCAUCUCCUCCGCCUCCCCCGUCCAGAGACCUUUCAUGUGGAUUUCCCGCAAGUAGUCAGGGGCACUAUUUUGAUGAUCUGUACGCCCGUCUGAGCAGAUUUAUAGAGGGGUAGGUCGACGGGCUGCGUCGAGAGAUGAUAGAGAGGGUUGAUGAUCUGGGACAACAGUUGGUAGGAAGGGUCGAAGGUUUGUCGAAUGAGAUUGCAGCACUUUAGGGUGAUAUAGUCGGUAGGCGAUGGGUUGACGGAGACGGUGAUCGAGGGGGUGAUCGAGGGGGUGAGAGGGAUGGGGGUGAUAGAGAUGGGGGUCUCCGGCAGUCAUACAUACAUGAUGAUGAUGCAUGGAAAUUAUUUAUUUUAUCCAUGGAGCACGAUGUGACGGGAGUAGUGACCGAGGAGGGGGGCCCGUCGGGGAGGGAGACGGAGGCAGAUGAGGGAGUGUUCCCGUCGAGGACGGAGACAGUGGCAGAUGUAGGAGUGGCUCCGUCGGGGACGGAGACGGAUGCAGAUGUUGGGUGGCAGAUGAGGGAGUGGCCCCGUCGGAGACCAUCCCGUCGGAGACCAUGGCAGAUGAAGGGAUGGAGGAGGUGGCGAGCCCUAGGGUGGAGGAGGUGGCAGUGUAUAAGGUAAAAAAGUAUGCUGUUGACAUGCCGGAGACGGUGGUCGACAAGAGGUCGAGAGUGUCGUCACAGUACGUCGUCUCUCCCUUCACGGCUGAGGCUAAGAGGAGGAGGUUCGUCGAUGGGACGUACUUCAAUCUGUUCCGGGAGGUCGACCAUGCGAAGUGGAAAGCAUUUGAGGCUGAGUGGCGAAGAAUAUUGCCCGGAGCCACGCACAUGAUAGCCGGAAGGACGAUAUUGGACGCAUACAAAUGGUUUCAUGAUAUCACCACUCAGGGGGCUUAUCUCGUCGACGAUCACAUCGACAUGGUCAUGGACUUGUUGCGCGAUCGCGAGUUGAGAGAUAUCCACAAUCAUUCUACAAGCCUGGUCGCAUUAUACUGAACACCGAGUUCUUCCGUGCCGUUACCAUUGAGUAUCAGUCCCUCCAACUUCUAGGUAACGAAUACGUGCUUCCCGCUUAUAUGUUCGAGUGGGUCAUCGAGCUGUCACCGAGUGUUGGGGGAAAGCCAUGGGAAGGUUGUACGCAUUUGUACAUUCCAAUUAUCGCGAAUCAGCACUGCAUUGAACUGGAGAUCGUGUUCCCUGAUUUGACGAUAUGUGUACGAUCCCGAUCAUUCAUGUCUGACAAAGGGACAGCUUGAGCAGAUCGUAGAGUCGAUAACUGUGAUCGUUCCUAUGAUGGCUAGACAUGCGAGCUUGACUGUGGAUGACAGACUAGCCAUCGUGCGGGACACGACAACGAUGAGACAUUGUAUAUCGGGUGACUGUGGGAUUUUCGCAAUCAAAUAUAUAGAAUUUUUGAGUAUAGCACAUAAGGUUGAUGGAAUCAACCAGUCAUGAAUACAGAAUUGGCGAAAUAAGUUAGCGUGUGAUUUAUACAAAUUUAAUUAUGAUCCAUAAAUUAUUUGUAAA